GGUGCUUUGGGACCUGCUGGGCCACGUGGAUCUGCUGGCAAAGGACUACCAGGACCUCCAGGGCCUCCAGGACCCAGUGGGCUCCCAGGUGGAAAUGGAUUUCGGGGUCCUUCUGGACCUUUUGGUCUGCCAGGAUUCCCAGGGCCUCCUGGACCACCUGGACCUCCUGGGCUGCCAGGCACCCUUCAUGAUGGCGGUGGGGACCUUCAGGUAG